GCGGAUGUGGCGGAAUUGGCAGACGCGCAGCGUUCAGAACGCUGUGGACAAAAGUCCAUGAGAGUUCAAAUCUCUUCAUCCGCA
rnacentral:tRNA from 1 species